rnacentral:rRNA from 1 species
CGGAGGGUGCAAACGUUGCUCGGAAUCAUUGGGCGUAAAGCGAACGUAGGCGGCCUUGUAAGUCGGGUGUGAAAGCCCUCGGCUCAACCGAGGAAGUGCAUUCGAAACUGCAAGGCUGGAGUAUCGGAGAGGAUAGCGGAAUUCCCGGUGUAGAGGUGAAAUUCGUAGAUAUCGGGAGGAACACCAGUGGCGAAGGCGGCUAUCUGGACGAAUACUGACGCUGAAGUUCGAAAGCGUGGGGAGCAAACAGGAUUAGAUACCCUGGUAGUCCACGCCGUAAACGAUGAGUGCUAGGUGUCGCGGGUAUUGACCCCUGCGGUGCCGAAGUUAACGCAUUAAGCACUCCGCCUGGGGAGUACGGCCGCAAGGCUA